UUUAGACACAGCUUCUUAGCAGAUAUUUUAGUAUAAAAAGACAUUUUCUUGGAAAAAAAAUGCGACCAUUUCAUUAAAGGUGUUUCAGUUUCUUCUCAGUUGCCUGGGGGCAAUCUCUGGAUGUGCUGGCAGGGCGAGUGACUGGAGGGCACGAAGCCCAACCAAGCAGCUGGAAGAGGCAGCUCUGACAUUGCCCUGCUGUGCCUCGAAUCUCCUGCCAAUGCCAACGGGUUCAUUGAGCUGGGAGCGCUUCCACCUAAGGGAGAAAUUUUGCCCAAUGACUAUUCCUGCUGUGUUACUGGCUGGGGAGUGGUCAGUGGUGAGUGAGGGGGAAGGAGGAGGGUCCAGGGGGACCACCAUACAAAUAAAGCUUCUUUCCUCAACCCCUGGAGCUGCUGGGCCAAGCUGUCACCCUUUCUCAUGUCCCCUCUGCUGUGCAGUGGGUGGUGGCAGCGUGGACAGGCUGCAGGAGGUGAUGCUGCCAGUGGUGACCAUGAUAUCCCUGCUCCCAGGAGGGCUGGUGGGGAUCCCAGGCAAGGACAGCAUGCUCUGUGCAGGUGGAGAUGGUGUGAGGGCAGGAUGUAAGAGCUCUUAUAAUCAGAGGGGUUUCAAGCUGCCCUCUUUCUUUCUCCCUCCUUUCUCACCUUGCUGUGCCUCAAGUUCUGGUUUUGGCAUUUCUUCACCUGCAGUGGUUCUCCUGUAAAUCAUGGCCCCUUUUGCUGCUUUCUGCUGAAUAUCUUCUGAACCAGGCCUUCUCCACAUUCCUCCAAAGAUCAGCAAGCAGAGAGAAAAACCUCCAGCUCCUCAGGGUGCACCUCUCCUCUCUGAUUCUGGAGAGUAGAUUGUCUCUGUCUCUCAGCAGCGUGUCCCAAGGACCAGAUCCUGGGGACAAGGGUGAGACUUUGGCAGUCACCUCUGCCCUGACCCAAAGGGUGAAGCUACAAGGAAGUUUUUCCACUCUUCCAGUGCUGCUGUUUUGUUUUGUUGUACCCUGAGCCAGGCAUUGCUACCUCCUGCUUGUCAACCUUCUCCUUCCCAUCCACUCUGUUUGCAGCUGAGCUUGCUGCAAGUUUGGGCUAUGUCCAACAGCUUUCUCUGGCCCAGAGGUGGAAAAAGAAGAUAUUGUGAGGGUCCCAUUAUCCCAGAGGAUCCAGGUGGACUCAGCAUCAAGGCAAGGAGGCUUGGCAUGAGAAGCCAAGAAAUAUUUGUUACCUCUUCCUGUAUUCCCUUCACUGCAAAGGUGGCUUCUAAUAAAAGCAACCAUGCAGAGCCCUUAAAAAAUUGUGGGAAAAUACAUAAUGUGUGAUUAAGUAAAUAUAGGAAUAUAGAAACAUACAGAAAUAAAGCAGGUUGUACAAUUAUACAUAGUACAGUUAUAGGUACAGGAUAAUUAUAGGUCUGUAGAUGUUUAGUGUAUUUUUUUUUUUGUGUGUGAGUGAUUUAAUUAUGUCAGAACCUUGUUACAAAUCAGGUUGUGAGCCCAGGAAGAGCCUUUAUCUUCUCACAUAUUUUAAGUCCCUAGUGCUCCUUUAUCCUACCCAUUCAUUGCUCAGAUAAUUUGGCUGAAUAUUUCCUUUCCUUCCUCUGGUCCAGGGGGACUCUGGGGGCCCUCUCAGCUACUACAGGGAUGAUCACUGGGAAGUCCAUGGCAUUUUUGUGAAUUUUUGUGUUGGUUCCCUACUGUAACCCCUACCAGAAACCCACAGUCUUCACACAUGUGUCAGCCUACAAGGACUGGUAAAUUCUCCCAUAAGUUGUUUCACGCCUGUGCAUCUCCCCUGAAAGCGAGGGGUUGGCCACAGGAUUUUUCCUUUAUUUUUCAGAGUGGUUUUCCUUUCAUUCAGAGUCAUUUUUUGUUUAUUAAACCAUUAGAAGUAGAACAGGGAGAUCUGGGGAGGUCUAAAAUCAGGAUAUUUGAUGCUACUUUUGGUGCAGUCAAUUUUAAGGGAGCAGCUGCUGCUUCAGAGCUGAAAUGCUCUGCUGAGGGCCACAGAGAAAAUUCAAGCCAGGCAGGAACAGGACUCUGUGUCCAAAAAAUUAUCAUCACCAUUCACCCAGGCAAAACCUUGCUGCAGGAAACCAUGGGAGGAAUUAGCUGGAUGGGAAAUGCAGCAAACAUAAAGCAUCUCUAAAAGUGCAAAUCCUGCAGUGCUGCACUAUCCACCCUCAGCUGCACAUUUGGGAAUGAAUAAUAAGUUUUUUUUCUCCAUAAAUAAUGACUGGAAUAAGAAGCAGCCUUUUCCCAGGCACAGGGUUUUGUGGAAAAGCUUCUGUAAAUUGUGGGUUCUUCUGGAAAUAAAGGUGAGGAGAGGUAUUUUAAAUCAGUGUGGGGUAGAGAGAGGCCACUGUGGUCCAUAAACAUUUCUGGGUGGGAAUAGGUUGUUAGAGCAGUCCCCUGGCUCAGCUGGGAACAAGUCCUUCUUCAGACCAUUCCCUGGGAUGGAGACAUGCCUUAUUCUGCCUCUCUGCUGAAUUAAUCAGUUUUUUGCUUUCCAGACUAUGCAGAAUAAUGGAAGUUUCUGGAGAAGGAUCGCUUGGUGCAUGAAUAUAUGAGAUAAAAUUAAGUAGCUGUACUCUUUAACCCUCUUCUCAUCCUUUCUGCACCUUUCUGGGUUAUUAACAGCAAGAUUUGGCUAAUAUUGGUGUAAUAAAGUCUCAGUGAGUG